GACGAACGCGGGGGCGUGCUUAAUACAUGCAAGUAGAACGCUGAGGGAGGAGCUUGCUUUCGGGUUGAGUUGCGAACGGGUGAGUAACGCGUAGGUAACCUGCCUGGUAGCGGGGGAUAACUAUUGGAAACGAUAGCUAAUACCGCAUAAGAGUAGAUGUUGCAUGACAUUUGCUUAAAAGGUGCAAUUGCAUCACUACCAGAUGGACCUGCGUUGUAUUAGCUAGUUGGUGAGGUAACGGCUCACCAAGGCAACGAUACAUAGCCGACCUGAGAGGGUGAUCGGCCACACUGGGACUGAGACACGGCCCAGACUCCUACGGGAGGCAGCAGUAGGGAAUCUUCGGCAAUGGACGGAAGUCUGACCGAGCAACGCCGCGUGAGUGAAGAAGGUUUUCGGAUCGUAAAGCUCUGUUGUAAGAGAAGAACGAGUGUGAGAGUGGAAAGUUCACACUGGACG
rnacentral:rRNA from 1 species